CCUUCGGGGCCACUGAGUGUCCGCUGCUGCGUGCGCUUAUUCAAAGGUCUGAGAUCGGUCGCUGACUAGAUUCCCACGCCAGGCUGCUGGCGGACGGGGCUGUUCCGGAACCUCCAGCUUGCGGAGCCCUGCCCAGCGAGGUGUCGCCCCGGGUGCCCCAGGCCAGGGGAGAUCCACCUCCUGGAGACUGCACCUACUCUGGGGCAAGUGCCCAGAAAAAGGACAUGACUAUUGAGCAAAGAGAAGCAAAGUCCCAGGCAAUAAUGAGCCAGCACAUUCAAAGCAGACAUCAGCCUUUUCUCAUCACAGUGAUGGCAAAAUAUUCAAACUGGUCUAGAAAAAAAAAGUUGUUUGUAGGAUCAGCAAAUAUUUGAGGGGAAAGAGAGAAGAAUGUAAACAGGAUGCAUUCAGAAAAUUUUCAUUGGAAUUCUCUCCUACAAAUUUCUCACAAUGUUAUUUUCCAAUGCAUUUGCCUGCUUCCUUCAAACUGAUGUUUAACAAUGGCACAGACCUUUCAAACUGAAACUGAAUCUGUCCAUGCUGGGAAGAGUUCUAUUUAAUGCAACUUCAAGCACAAAGUAGUGGUUUCUGCUUUUGAAUAGAUGAACUUAUGCAAGUAUGAGCUGUGAAAACACACAGAUUAUAUCAGCACUGGGAAGCUCUACUAAGCCAGCAUAUUCAAAGGGGGAUUCACCAUUCAACAUCACAUUGCAAGCACAUAACUUAAAUGGUGGUAGAAAAAAAAAAAAAAACUUUGGACAAGGUUCACUAAACUUUGUGGGGAAAAAUGGAAUGUUAAGAGAAUUCCUCUCCAAUGUUUUCUUGACAUUUGUUGGUCCACCUUUUUCACAAUACUCACUUAAUUGCAGCUUCCUGUUUCCUAUGAACUGAUGUUUAAUAAUGGCACAGAUGCUUCAAACUGAAACUGAAUUUGCAUGUGCAGGGAAGAAUUCUAUUGAAUGCCACCGUAAGCACAAACCAAGCAGAGGUUGUCCUUUAAAACACAGUGAGUUCUAGCAAGUUGAAGUUGAUAGCACAAACUGCUUCUGUUUUGUUCCUGCAAGCUCUACUGAGCCAGCACACUUAAAGCAGACAUCAGCUUUUUACCAUUAUAGGGAUGGCAGAAUAUUCCAAUUGGUCUACAAAUGAAAAGUUGUAUUAUAUAGGAUAACCAAACAUUGAGUGGAAGAGGAAAAAAAUGUAAACAGGGUUUAUUCAGUAAAGUUUCAAUGGAAUUCUCUCCUACAAUUUUCUCACAACAUUGUUUUCCAAUGCAUUUUUCUGUUUUCUUCAAACUGGUAUUUCACAAUGGCACAAAUGCUUGAAACUAAAUCUGAAUCUUUCCAUGCUGGAUAGAGUUCUGUUGGAUGCUACUUCAAGCACAAACAAAGGAGAGGUAUCUCCUUUAAAAACAAGUGAAUUUUUGUAAGUAGAAACUGUUAAAAUUCACAGAUUUCUUUUCUGAACUGGGAAGAUCUUCUAAACCAGCAUAUUCAAAGCAGAGUACAGCCCUUCAACAUCACAUUGAAGGCACAGAAUUUACAUGCUGGUAGCAAGAAAUACCUUGGAGAAGGCUCACUAAAACUUGAAGAAAAAACAAAAUUUUUAUGUGGAUUCAUUCACCAAAGAUUCCUAGAAUUUUGAUGGUUCACCUUUUUAACAAUACCCACUUCAAUUGCAUUUGCCCGCUUCCUACAAACUGAUGUUCAAGAAUGGCACAUUCACUUGAAACUGAAACUGAAUUUGCUGAUGCUGGGAAGAGUUCUGUUGAAUGUUACUUCAAGCACAAACAAAGCAGAGGGUUCUUCUUUAGAACAGAUGAACUCAUGCAAGUACAAACUGUUAAAACACAUGAAUUAUUUUCUGCACUGGGAAAAUCAUCUAAGGCAGCAUAUUCAAAGCAGGGUUCAGCCAUGCAAACUCACAUUGCAAGCACAUUAUUUAAAUGAUGGUAGCAAGAAAAAUCAUGGAACUAGGCUUACAAAACUCUGUGGGGAAAAGGGAAUGUUACGGGGAGUCCUUCAAAAUUUUCUUUAAAUUUGUUGGUUUACAUUUUUCACAAUACUCCAUCUAAUUGCAGUUUCUGGAUUCCUAUGAAUUGAUGUUUAACAAUGGUACAGAUGCUUGAAACAGAAACUAAAUCUGCCCAUGCAUGGAAGAAUUCUGUUGAAUUCUACUUCAAGCCCAAAUAAAGCAAAAGGUUCUUUUUUUAGAACAGAGUAAAUUACAGCAACUUGAAGCUGCAAGAACAAAGUUCUUCUAUUGUCUUCUUGCAAUCUCUUCUCAGCACAAUCAAAGCAGACUUCAACCUUUCUUCAUCACAAUGAUAGCAAAAUAUUCAAAUUGAUUUAGGAAGAAAAAGUUGUAUGUAGGAUCAUAAAACAUU